CCUUGUCCGAACGGGCGCAGUCCUAGGCCUAGUGUGAGGGACGCGGGAAAAAGCUGAGGGGAGACUCUUAAACUUCUGUACUCCACAGACACACACAAAUGUGAGUUUUCCCUCCCUCCUUUCCUCUUUCUCUCCCUUCCCUUCCUCUUCCAACUUGAAUAAAAUAUUGGAACGAGGGGGGCAGGUAAGACCCACCUCACAUAACUGAUCACAAGACAAAGUGCACGCAACUAUUUGAAUGGUAAUGCCUAUCAACAUGGGGGGAGGGACGACUCCCUCAAAUAUUUUAUUGGGGGGGGCGAAGGCACCUAGGCUUCUAGGAGUUGGCUGCUAUGCCCAGGACAGUUCAGGAAAGCAAAAUGAUGCCUACAUAAAACUAUAGCAAACAGGAAAAAAAAUGCACAUUUAAAAAAAAUCCCUUUUUAAUGCCUGAGAGAAUUCAAAUAAUGUCUUUGCCCGGGACUGAAAGAGUACAGGUGUUGGCUCCAGGUGGGUCUCUCUGGGGGAGGAAUGUCAUCACUGGGAAGCCAUGGCUUAGAGAAGAAGCUUCUCCCUCCUUAGGCAGGUUGGUGUGCGAGUAGGUGCUCCUUAUGGUGCUUUGGUCCUAAGCCCUUCCUACCAGAGAGCACUCAGCCGAUCAGCAAAUGGCUUAUAUCACCAUAAAAUCUGUUCACCUUUAAUGUGCUGUCAGACUCUUGGAUAGGAGUUUUCACGCAGAAGCUGGAGGGUCACUUCUCAGGGAUGCAGUAGCAGCAGAUUUCCCUGCACAAGGGGCUGGACUAUGUGUCCUUUCCACUGUUGGGCCUAUGAUUUUGCUGCAACAGGGGUUGCCAGCCCUCUGGAUCUUUGCAAUUGUAGUCAUAUUCUUGUAUACCUGCUAAACUGGAAGGAUACUUGCCCUCUCCUUUCCGUUUGUCUCCUUCCCCGUAGUAGGGGUUGGGAACCUGCCAGCUUCCGGAUGCCACUGGACUACAACUCCUAUUAUCCCUGUCCAUUGCCCAAGCUGGCUGGGGCUGAUACGAGUCAAGAGUCCAACCACCUCCCUACCCUGAAGAGCUGCCUUUCUCAACCACAGGUGAGGGGCUACAGUUAAGAAGAGAGUGCCUUUGGCCACAUGCAGAAUUCAGAGGGCGCUCUGAGCCAGGGCUUAAUUCUGAACCUGUUUCAAAUGCCCAACCUUAUAUGCUGAAGAGUGACCCCAUUACACUACCUUUGUGUACAGGAUUUAGUCAAAGGAGAGUCCCCAAUUUUUUACAUUAAUUGGUUCAGAAGGCAAAAUUGAGGUGAAAAUUGGCAAUGAGGUGGACCCAAACAGAUUAAUAAGCCCCAAAAGAAUCAGUGUUUAGCUUGAGAUAUGGCCACCGUAGCCAUUUUUUAUUGUUGGGAUUCAGCCCCAGAUAAUGCAUAUUAAAGUAUGUCUGGACGCGAACAAAUUCCUUUCUUUUGCUGCAACCUUUUGUUUUGUUGUCUUGAUUAUUUACUUGUGUUUUAUCUUGUAUUUUAUUCUGUGAACCACCCUGAGAUCUUUUGAUGAAGGGCAGCAUAUACUUUAAUAAACAAUAUUAAUCAUAAUAAUUCCUGGCCCUUUAAUGAAGCUGAGAUUUGUGCAGCAGCUGUUCGAGGAUCAAAGGAGUGGCUUUCAAGUAGUAUUGAACUCCAGCUCCUUGCUUGUUAAAAUGAUCAACUUCUUAAUUAGCAGCAUUGAGGAUAGUGGAGGUGUUUUGGAGGAAGACAGAGAAGAAUUUCAGGUGUCUUGAUUGAGAUUCACACCUGACUGAAUUUCAGGUGUCUUGAUUGAGAUUAAGUUGUGUCCGGGCUCGGCUCGGUAAUGUGUGGAGAAAUAAAGAAGAGAAUACCUCUGAGCAUGUGCAAAGUUUUGCUCGUAAUGGGGGAAGGCAGAGAAAGAGAAUAAUUCCAGGUGGGGCAAUUUAGAUUCACCCAGAACUUAAUUUGUGUCGGGGCUCAGUCAUGCAAUGUGUGAAGCAGUAAAGAACAGAGUACCGCUGAGCACAUGCGAAGUGUCCUCCCCUUACUGCUAAACACAAAGAGCCCCUAAAAGGUAGGGGGUUACAAGUUCCAGAGGUCAGGCUGUGUACAAAAUAAGAGCGCCUAACCUUUCCUUUUUUGAGAGAUGAAGCCCUAACACAACACACAAAAGAAUCGCCCAAACAAAGAGAUUCAUUGCAGCCGGAGCUGCCAGCUUUCUUUGCCAACACUGCCCCCUGGCUGCCGACCAAUGCCAAGCCAGUGAAUUUGCCCAAGCAGCGUGGACAUAGGGCCAGACAGUGAUGGAUGGAUAGAAGCAUCUGUUUAAUAGAUAGGUUAUCCGAGAUGAGGUUAUGCCCCUGGUCCAUUGGGGCAGAGUGGCCUAUUAUGGAGCAUCAAAGGUGAUUAAAGUAGUACUUUCUAAGAGAAUGACAUUGGCUUUAAAAAAAAAAAACACCUUUGGCAAGUGCUUCUGGUUCAACCCAGUUAGUGAUGGAAGAACUCUUAUUGUCCUAGGCAGGUUCCCAGCGGCCAAGGAAAUAAGCAGUUAGAAGAGGAACUGUCCCCAUCCCACCCCCAAGAGCUGCCUCUGACUGUAGACUUUAAUAAAGGGGUAGGCAAGUACAGGCCUUGAGAUCGAAUCUGGCUGGAAAAGUCGCCUCAAGUAAUCUACUCCUGAGCUCAUUUAAACCGCAGCUUUCCUGCCACUUCACUUUGAAGCCUUGCACACACCUCGAAGCACACUCGGCUUCUUACAGCCCUCACAUGCUACAAAAGAAGGCCCAGGUGGGGAGGAUCAGAAGGCUUUUAAAAGAAGGGAUUUAAAAGCCCAGACUGCCCUGCCCUGGCUCUUGGGUGAAGCAAACACUGUUGCCCAAGUCCAGAAUGUGACCCCAGUCCCUGACCUGCAGCCAGCUUUUUGUGAUGGCUCCUUAGCUACCGUUCCAGAAGGCUAUGUGGGAGUGAUAUGGUUUGAGACCCCCUACCCCUAAUUCAAAGGCCCUCAUAGCCCCCCCUUACCUGAACCUCUCCAGUUCUGUCUCUGUGCCUGGCUGAGGAGGGCGGCCCAGUGGUCUCCAGCUGUGCAUGGCCUUAUUUAUUCAUGCUGUCUUAUCCCAGCAACGGGGAACCUGUGGCCUUCCAUUUGCUGUUCAGCUCCCAUCAGCCCCAGCCAGCAUGGCCAAUGUUCAGGCAUGAUGGGAGUUGUAGCCUAACAUGUGGGGACGGGGCUUAGCUUCCCCAUUCUUGGUCUAUUCAGCUCCACCCAUGUUUGAUGCUUGAAUUAUUACAGUGGUACCUCGGGUUAAGAACUUAAUUCAUUCUGGAGGUCCGUUCUUAACCUGAAACUGUUCUUAACCUGAGGUACCACUUUAGUUAAUGGGGCCUCCCUGCCGCUGCGCCACCGGAGUACGAUUUCUGUUCUCAUCCUGAAGCAAACUUCUUAACCUGAGGUACUAUUUCUGGUUAGCAGAGUCUGUAACCUGAAAUGUCUGUAACCCGAGGUACCACUGUAUUGGGUAUUAGAGAGUCUGGUGACCCUCUUUACUUUUUUGGUGAUGACCCCUCUUAGGUUUUUUAGAAGGUGGGGAGCAGGGAUAAAUUGACUAAAAUUGAGAGGAGUCAGGGCUGGGGCUUGUGGGUUUAGUGAAGAGCCCCUCUAGAUGUAUGGCAACCCUUGGGUUUAGUCAUUUGGUAAAAUGCAGUUCCAGCCCCCAGACCAUUGUCUAGAUAGGCAAUAAUGCUGUAGCUCAGGAGAAUACAGGCCUGCCCCAAAUUAGAUGAGCUAUAUAUACUCCUACUACUUUCUCGUUCUGUUGUGCCAUAUAUAUGCUACUACUUUCUCCUUCUGUUGUGCCAUGAUCAUUUCUGUAAUUUGUCCAGAUGAAGGUCAUCAGGAUAAUUCAGACCCUCCAAGUCUCCCUAUUUUCCAGGGACAGUCCCAGAUUUACAGAAGUCGUCCCAGUUUCUGAUUUGAUCCUGGAAUGUCCCACUUUUCCUUAGGAAGUCUGUAUUUUCAUUGGAGAAAUGUUGGAGGGUAUGGAGUUAUGUGACAUCUGAAGGCAGCCCUGUCUAGGGAAGUUUUAAAAUGUUUAAUGAUGUUUUUAUAUAUGUUGGAAGCGUGGCUGGGGCAACCCAGUCAGAUGGGUGGGGAAUAAUAAUAAUAAUAAUAAUAAUAAUAAUAAUAAUAAUAAUAGAUGUCCCUAUUUUCAUCAGAGAAAUGUUGGAGGGUACGUAUAAUAAUAUCUGAUCUCAGUGGGGGUGUUCUUUUCAAACACAGUGAACAUUCAUCUCUUGAGCAUGAGCAACACCUACUCAAAAACAGCUGUCCACCCACCAGCCUGUCUCUAGUUCUGGAGGUCCUCAAUGUCCUAGGACCUAUAGGAAGGUAAAGGAAGGAGAUGCCGUAAAUCAGGAGUGAGGAAACUUUGGUCCUCCGGAUGUUGCUGAACUCCAACUCCCAUCAGCCCCAGCAAGCAUGGCCAAAGGCCAGGGAUGAUGGGCAUUUUAGUUCAGCAACAUCCAGAGGGCCAUAAGCUCUACACACCCGCCUCCUACAGAGUCAGGCUCUUUGUCUCUCUCUAGCCCAGAGUUGCCAGGGACUAAACCUGAGACCUUCUGCAAGCAAAGCAGAUGUUCUACCACGGAGAUAAGCCACACACCAUUUUUCUCUCACACAGGAAGGCAAAGGAAUCACCAGCACUUUCUCUGCCAGUGAGAGCAGCCAACAGCAGCUCUGCAAGCCGAGAUGCUGAUGAGCAUCAAGGAGCAUUUGAGGGGCCUGAUAAGAGGAGAGCUCUGGCAAGUACCUUUGAUGCUGUUCACAUUUGGGAAGGGAGAG
rnacentral:lncRNA from 1 species